rnacentral:rRNA from 1 species
UACGUAGGGGGCAAGCGUUGUCCGGAAUCAUUGGGCGUAAAGCGCGUGUAGGCGGCUCGGUAAGUCUGCUGUGAAAGUCCAGGGCUCAACCCUGGGAUGCCGGUGGAUACUGUCGAGCUCGAGUCCGGAAGAGGCGAGUGGAAUUCCUGGUGUAACGGUGAAAUGCGCAGAUAUCAGGAGGAACACCAAUGGCGAAGGCAGCUCGCUGGGACGUGACUGACGCUGAGACGCGAAAGCGUGGGGAGCAAACAGG